GUUUGACCCUGGCUCAGGAUGAACGCUAGCGGAAUGCUUAACACAUGCAAGUCGAACGAAUUUAGUUUGUAGCAAUACAGAUUAAAUUAGUGGCAAACGGGCGAGUAACGCGUACCUAACCUGCCUUCAAGUUGUGAACAACUAUAGAGAUAUAGCUAAUUCCCAAUAUGCUCACGAUGGUGAAAUUCCAAUGUGAGGAAAGAUUUAUCGCUUGGAGAGGGGGGUGCGUCCUAUCAGGUAGUUGGUGAGAUAAUAGCUUACCAAGCCUAUGACGGGUAGCCGGUCUGAGAUGAUGUCCGGCCGCAAUGGAACUGAGAUACGGUCCAUACUUCUACGGAAGGCAGCAGUGGGGAAUAUUGGACAAUGGACGAAAGUCUGAUCCAGCAAUUCCGCGUGAAGGAUGAAGCAUUACGGUGUGUAAACUUCUUUUUUGGUGAAAGACGAAUGACGGUACACCAAGAAUAAGGGACGGCUAACUACGUGCCAGCAGCCGCGGUAAUACGUAGGUCCCAAGCGUUAUCCGGAUUUACUGGGUGUAAAGCGUCUGUAGCUUGAUAAACAAGUCUGUUUUCAAAAUCCACGACUUAAUCGUGGACCGGGAAUAGAUACUGUUUGACUAGAGGUCAUUGGGGGUUAGUGGAAUUUCCGGUGGAGUGGUGAAAUGCGUUGAUAUCGGAAGGAAUGCCGAAAGCGAAAGCAGCUAACUACAGUGAACCUGACAGUGAGAGACGAAAGUUUGGGUAGCAAACGGGAUUAGAUACCCCGGUAGUCCAAACCUUAAAUUAUGCUUGCUAAAUGUCUUAUCUGCUUUGCGGAUGGGGUGUUGUAACCUAACGGGUUAAGCAAGCCACCUGGGUAGUAUAUUCGCAAGAAUGAAACUCAAAGGGAUAGGCGGGGGAACACACAAGCAGUGGAUUGUCUAGAUUAAUUGGAUAGCAAGCCAAGAAUCUUACCUAGACUUGACAUUUACUGUGUCCUAUGUGAAAGCAUAGUAGUCCGAGCAAUCGGACACGGUAAACAGGUGGUGCAUGGUCGUCGUCAGCUCGUGCCGCAAGGUGUCUAGUUAAGUCUAGCAACGAGCGCAACCCUCAUAUCUAGUUAGAAUGUCUAGAUAGACUGCCCUGGUAACAGGGAGGAAGGAGAGGAUGACGUCAGAUCCUCAUGCCCCUUAUGUUUAGGGCUUCAUAGACAAUACAAUGGGUAGUAACAGCGAGAAGCAAUAUCGAAAGAUGGAGCAAAUCUUUAAACCUACCCCUAGUUCGGAUUGUAGUCUGGAAUUCGACUACAUGAAGUUGGAAUUGCUAGUAAUGGCGAAUCAGCCAUGUCGCCGUGAAUAUGUCCCUGUUCCUUGCACUCACCGCCCGUCAAACCAUGGGAGCUGAAAUUCUUUGAAGAUUCACCAUGUGGGUUUAGAAGAAGGUCAGUGACUGGGGUUAAGUCGUAACAAGGCA
rnacentral:rRNA from 1 species